GGGACAGCGAGGAUGGUUAGCAGCCUAAGCUAGCCAGGAAAUAAAUCCCAGGAAAUGGCAGUCAGCUCUAAUUAGGUGAAAAGUCACUCAACUAACAGAAGGGAAGCACAUGUUGUAGAUUAUCCCGAAGGGAAAAUCCAGGAUUCGUGAGUGGAAAUUACAGUGUGGCUGUGGAGGACAGUUCUCCACUGAAUGCUAAGAAAGAACAUACAUUCGCUGCAGUUUCAAUGGAUUAAAAAAUUAACCAGAGCCGGCCCUGAGAAAAUUAAAGUAUUACAAAGUCAAGCCACUUCGCAAGGCACACAACCUCCCUUGUCAGAGCGGUGCUGAAAGAAUAACAGGUUUGCCUUAAUCAGCAACAACAAAAAGCUAUCCUGAUUCAUUUUUCCAUAUUAAAUCUGAAUACCACCUCAGAGACGUUUUCCUGUCUCUUCAUCUCCAGAGAACCCAAGGCAUUUACAGUCUCAUUAUUUUACGUAACACCCAGUAAGUGGGCACCAAAGAUCAUUAGCGUCCUUUGAUUUCGAAGAAAGAACUACAGAGAGAUUAAACAAGUCGCCCAAGGUUGCUCGGUGAGUUGAGGUGUUUGGAUUUUCCAUUUAGCUCUUGUUUUAAGGGCUUAGUACAAAGUGACUGAAGGUGAUUAAAUUUACCAAAAGUCCCAAAUCUUAAGGACCUCAUUCCUAUUUCUUACCACCAAUGACAUUUUCAUCACACAAGCAUGAACCAGCCUCCGCGGUCAGUGCAGGGCCUGCAAGGAGCCUCCUGCUCUACCUGACUUGGCUUUGGGCUCACUGUUUCCCGACUCCUUUACCCAGGGGAGCUGAUUCCGCCUGGCUGCCUCUGGGAAAUUUUUCACCCCUCGAUUAGCUAUUGCACAGUUGGUUUAACUCAGACCAGACAGUAGACAAAAUAGUAGUGGUUUAAAAAGUGUCUCCCCCACUCUGAUGACAAAGGAGGCAUGAUUAACGAAGUUCCCUUUGUCUCCAAGCUCCAUUCUGAGAGAGAGAGAAAGGGCUCUGCUCCCCUUUUUUGAUUUCUGAGUCUUUUCCUACUUGUCCAUCACCCACACAAUCUGUUCACAGCUCAAACAGACAAUCCAGCCAGUCUGUGGAGAGUUCCUAAAACAUUUAUGUGAAAGCAGGCAGGACGGGCAAGACCUCAUCUCAACAAAGGACGAUGGGAUAUUGGGCAGAAGAGUUCACAAAGGGAAAUACAGCAGAGGUCCUAAGCUGAAUGGAUUUGCCCACAAUGGCUAGCACAAUGCCGGUCCUUAUGGGGACUUGUCAGCCUUCUGGUCAAUUUCCAGCCACCUCCAGGUUUGGGCCCCUAAACUCCAUUGCUUUUUUAAAGAAAAUCAACAAGUUAACCAAGUCCCAAUCAGUGCUUUAAGGAUCCUUUAGUUUCUCUAGAACUUUAAAUUCAAAACCAGUGAGUUAGACAAAGAGUCUAGUUCACAUUCAACCAGCUCAGGGAAUGGAGAUAAUGCUACACGGCACUCAGCACAUGGCCUGCUGCACACUGAGUGCUCAGAGAAUAUUACCCAAUAUUUUAUCAUGCUCUGUGUUGUUCUACUAAUAGUUUUAUGCAUGUCCUGACUGCUCACCUAAAAGAGUUUACUUUAUCUGUAUUUGGUGCAUUACACAGAUAGGUGCUUCAUAUACAUUAUCUUCACCAAGGAUAUAAAUCUAUAGGCUCCAGACAGUAAAGGCAAUCUCAGGUCUCAGUGGACAAGGGGUAGAUUCUUUGACUGAUAGCUCAGUAAUUUCAUACCCAGUGCUUUCUUCUCAAAACACCAUCGAUGAGCAGAUUAGCAAGGCCCGGGGCUCUUUGUAGUCUCCAGAAUCUAGGCAAGUGAUAAGGUGUACCUAAGCUUCAUUUAAAAUAAGUUUCUUAUCUGUAGGUGAUAAAAGACACUGAGGAUAUGCUUUAGACCCCUUAACAAAGGAGACAAGAAGUGAGUAAAAAGCUGCCCUUUGACAUGCCACUGGAUUUAUUUGCCAUGGGAAAGCGUCACAGGUCCACUUAGCAAAUAUGGUAAAGGCAGGAAGGACUGGAUAAUAUGUCUAAGGAGGCAAAUGCUACUACAGAGUUCUUUGUACUCAUUGCUCAUAGCUUUUUCUGUUAACUGAUUAUUCUGUUAGCAGCCUGGCUGAGGGGAAUCUUGUCCUAGAUCACGCAUAACAAUUUGUGCCUCAAAUGAUCACCCCAUACUUUAAUAAAGGUCCAUGUCACAUCCUAAUUAUUCAAAAACAUCUAUCUGAUCUAGAACACUUUUAGAACUCUUAGUCUAUUGCACUUAACUUAGCCCUUAACAACAACGGUCUUUUUUGAUUCAUUUUGUCUUUCUAAACCAAUUGAAGCUGCCUGCGCUGCUGUAGCCCAUGGCAAGCCGGGUUCAGGACCAGCAUUGACAUGUGUAGGCUUGCGACACAGGCUCCUGGACGUCCUAAAGAAACCUCCUAAGAGUCAUCAUGGCAUUGAAUACCCAGGCCCGCAGAAGCACAUGUUGCAGUGAGCUUUACUUCAAAGCCAGUAGCCUGGCCGAGUUCCAAGAAUUGUCACAAACGCUCCGCACCAGACGCUUGGUCCUCAGCAGUGGGCCCUGCACACACACACAAGUGUGCGCACACACAUCCCACCUCAGAUACUGCUCUAAUUCAACAGC